AUACGGAGGAUGCGAGCGUUAUCCGGAUUUAUUGGGUUUAAAGGGAGCGCAGACGGGUCGUUAAGUCAGCUGUGAAAGUUUGGGGCUCAACCUUAAAAUUGCAGUUGAUACUGGCGUCCUUGAGUGCGGUUGAGGUGUGCGGAAUUCGUGGUGUAGCGGUGAAAUGCUUAGAUAUCACGAAGAACUCCGAUUGCGAAGGCAGCACACUAAGCCGUAACUGACGUUCAUGCUCGAAAGUGUGGGUAUCAAACAGGAUUAGAUACCCUGGUAGUCCACACGGUAAACGAUGGAUACUCGCUGUUGGCGAUAUACGGUCAGCGGCUUAGCGAAAGCGUUAAGUAUCCCACCUGGGGAGUACGCCGGCAACGGUGAAACUCAAAGGAAUUGACGGGGGCCCGCACAAGCGGAGGAACAUGUGGUUUAAUUCGAUGAUACGCGAGGAACCUUACCCGGGCUUAAAUUGCAAAGGAAUAAUCUGGAAACAGGUUAGUCUUCGGACCUUUGUGAAGGUGCUGCAUGGUUGUCGUCAGCUCGUGCCGUGAGGUGUCGGCUUAAGUGCCAUAACGAGCGCAACCCUCGCCGCCAGUUACUAACAGUUAAAGCUGAGGACUCUGGCGGGACUGCCAUCGUAAGAUGUGAGGAAGGUGGGGAUGACGUCAAAUCAGCACGGCCCUUACGUCCGGGGCUACACACGUGUUACAAUGGGCGGUACAGAAGGCAGCUACCUGGCGACAGGAUGCCAAUCCCUAAAGCCGCUCUCAGUUCGGACUGGAGUCUGCAACCCGACUCCACGAAGCUGGAUUCGCUAGUAAUCGCGCAUCAGCCACGGCGCGGUGAAUACGUUCCCGGGCCUCGUACACACCGCCCGUCAAGCCAUGAAAGCCGGGGGUACCUGAAGUGCGUAACCGCAAGGAGCGCCCUAGGGUAAAACUGGUAAUUGGGGCU
rnacentral:rRNA from 1 species